UAAUAAUUAGUUUACAGGAACAUCGUAAUUUGACUACGUAGGAAACAGUGCAACUCUGUUGUUAUUAA
rnacentral:tRNA from 1 species